CAAUAGCGUAUAUUAAAGUUGUUGCGGUUAAAAAGCUCGUAGUUGGAUUUCUGCUGAGAACGACCGGUCCGCCCUUUGGGUGUGUAUCUGGCUCUUUCUUGGCAUCUUCUUGGUGAACGUUGCUGCACUUGACUGCGUGGAGCGCUACCCAGGACUUUUACUUUGAGGAAAUUAGAGUGUUUCAAGCAGGCAUACGCCUUGAAUACAUUAGCAUGGAAUAAUAAGAUAGGACCUCGGUUCUAUUUUGUUGGUUUCUAGAGCUGAGGUAAUGAUUAAUAGGGAUAGUUGGGGGCAUUCGUAUUUAACUGUCAGAGGUGAAAUUCUUGGAUUUAUGAAAGAUGAACUUCUGCGAAAGCAUUUGCCAAGGAUGUUUUCAUUA
rnacentral:rRNA from 1 species